CUGAGGAAAGGCCUAUCAAACUUAGAGGUAGCUGGUUUUCUGCGAAGUCUAUUUAAGUAAAGUGCCCAAAAUGCUUUGUUUUAAGGUAUAGCGCUC
rnacentral:rRNA from 1 species